UACAGAGGUGGCAAGCGUUGUUCGGAUUUACUGGGCGUAAAGGGUUCGUAGGCGGUUCGGAAAGUCAAAUGUGAAAUCCCACAGCUCAACUGUGGAACUGCAUUUGAAACUCCCGGACUAGAGUAUGAGAGGGGUAAAAGGAAUUCCCGGUGUAAGGGUGAAAUCUGCAGAGAUCGGGAGGAACACCAGUCGCGAAGGCGUUUUACUGGCUCAUUACUGACGCUCAGGAACGAAAGCUAGGGGAGCAAACGGG
rnacentral:rRNA from 1 species